GGCAUGCAGACCAUCUUUACCACUGAAUCUUUGCCUGGGAGAUAUCAAAUGAACUUACCCAAUUUCCUUUUUAUUAAAAAUUUACCUAAUUACAUUUAUACUAAUUGGCACACGUCUAUAAUAUAUAUCCUGAAGAUCUGUAAGCCUACCACUAAGAUAAUAUCCCGCAUUCUAGACCAACGUGGACCAACUGCUCGCUCAUAACGGUUAGGCGUCUGCCUUUUCUUCUUCUUCUUCACUCGAGAAUCAUUGCUUGUAUGGCCUUGGCUUCUUGCACUGGGAAAGGUUUGCAUUCAGAGAACCCUUAAAUUUGUAGUCCUCUCUUUGACCUGGCUUUUCACAAAGUUCAGACAUUGUACUAUCUCCUUUUUAGUGGCAGGCAUCUGCAAUGUCCAACUGUGGCAAGCAGGUUGUGUACAAAGUGUGCCUUGUACUUUUUACUCUUUUGGUCCUGGUCAGAACUGAUGGUGGUUCCUCUCUCCUUGUUUCCGUUCAUGGUAAAAACGAUACUUAGUUUUGUAUAAAGGUUUGAUCUCCUUUUUCGUUGUUUAUGUUGGUGCAAUUUAUUGUUUAAAACUUGAAAUAUCUUAGUUAGAAAUUGAGGCCUGCUUUUCCUUGCUUAUGUUGAUGUCGAGUCCCUUUUCACACUGCCUUCUCUUUUCACCGAUGGAAAUGUAUUUAAAUAUAUUACUCUUAGUAUAUCUGCUUGUUUAUUCGAAGUACGAUUUCAGUACAACAAAGAAUGGUACCAUGGAGAUUACUCGUCUAAUAUAUUUUGGGAAGAAGUAUUUGCAUUGGAUGGUCCUGACAACAUCUGGAUACAUGACGUGUACAUUCCCUUGCUCCUGUUGCGGUGUACUCGAUUUGCUCAUCAAACUAUCCUACAGGAACCUGCUGCGUUACCGGUGAAACACAUUGAUGAAAUACAUCGCCCCAAUUCUGAAGCACUGUGCUUGGUUUACCUUGGGCUCAUCAUCAAGGACGAUGGCAGCAGUCGGGCACUCCGGCCUGAUCCGGAGGCGGUGCUGUCAACGAGUCUCCGCUGGAGGAGGCGAGGACCAGCAUGAUGUUUCAUAACUUCAAAUCAUUCAGUAAUUGAUCUUUAGGGAAUGUAUUAAGAGCAUCGUGCCGAAGUUCAUGAUUGUUUGACUCAGUUAUGGUAAAUGAAGCAGAUGAGCUUUCCAUGUAUUCUUGUUUGUAGCGAAGUAUAAGAGCAGUAAUUUUUAGAAGGUCGGCUUAUUAACAUUUGUUAAAUAGUGGAUAUGUUGCUUGGUCC